CAGCUCCUGGGGCUCCUGCUGCUCUGGCUCCCAGGUGCCAGAUGUGACAUCCAGUUGACCCAGUCUCCAUCCUUCCUGUCUGCAUCUGUAGGAGACAGAGUCACCAUCACUUGCCGGGCCAGUCAGGGCAUUAGCAGUUAUUUAGCCUGGUAUCAGCAAAAACCAGGGAAAGCCCCUAAGCUCCUGAUCUAUGCUGCAUCCACUUUGCAAAGUGGGGUCCCAUCAAGGUUCAGCGGCAGUGGAUCUGGGACAGAAUUCACUCUCACAAUCAGCAGCCUGCAGCCUGAAGAUUUUGCAACUUAUUACUGUCAACAGCUUAAUAGUUACCCUCCGUGGACGUUCGGCCAAGGGACCAAGGUGGAAAUCAAACG
rnacentral:lncRNA from 1 species